rnacentral:rRNA from 1 species
UUUCUUUAGAUAUAUUUUAAAGGUGAUACCUGCUCAAUGAGUAUUAAAUUGCCGCAGUAUUAUGACUGUGCUAAGGUAGCAUAAUAAUUUGUCUUUUAAAUGGGGACUGGAAUGAAAGGUUUUAUGGGGGUAUGUUGAUGAUUUAAUGAAUCGUUGAAAUUAAGGUUUAAGUUAAAAUUCUUAAACUUGUUUGAGGGACGAGAAGACCCUGUGGAUCUUUAUUUUAUCCAUAAUAAAUUAUUAUAAAUGUUUUAUUAUCUUAAAAAUUUGAUUGGGACGAUUAUUAUUUUAACAUAAUUUUAAGGAUUUAUUUUGAUCCUAUAAAAGGAAUUAAGAUUAAGUUACCCCAGGGAUAACAGCGUUAUAUUAUUGGAUAGUUCAUAUUGAUAAUAAUGUUUGCGACCUCGAUGUUGAAUUAAAAUUUCUUUUUAAAGUAGAAGUUAAAUUAGUAAGUCUGUUCGACUUUUAAAAUUUU